AUUGAACGCUGGCGGCAGGCCUAACACAUGCAAGUCGAACGAGUGGCGGACGGGUGAGUGAUGUCUGGGAACCUGCCUGAUGGAGGGGGCUAACUGCUGGAAACGGUAGCUAAUACCGCAUACCAUCGGAUGUGCCCAGGUGGGAUUAGCUAGUAGGUGGGGUAAAGGCUCACCUAGGCGACGAUCCCUAGCUGGUCUGAGAGGAUGACCAGCCAAACUGGAACUGAGACACGGUCCAGACUCCUACGGGAGGCAGCAGUGGGGAAUAUUGGACAAUGGGCGAAAGCCUGAUGCAGCCACGCCGCGUGUAUGAAGAAGGCCUUCGGGUUGUAAAGCACUUUCAUCGGGGAGGCGGUACCCGAAGAAGAAGCAACGGCUAACUCCGUGCCAGCAGCCGCGGUAAUUC
rnacentral:rRNA from 1 species